UGUGAAAACAAAAGAUAAUAGAGCUAUAAGAUAAAAUCUUCAUAAAAAAUGGCAAAACACAUUUCUCAUUACUGUCUAUUGGCAAUUUUAUGCAUUGCGUUGGUUCUAACUUCAGGACCAACACCAGGUUUGAGUAACUGCGAAUUUCCUUCGCUUUGUGAUAGCUAUGAUAAUUGCGACUUUAAGUGCCGCGAUAUUGGGUUUCACAGAGGAGUAUGUACUGACAUUGAGGGAACCGAAUCUUGUUGCUGUAUGUCAUGAAAUAAAUUACAUUAUUAUAAAUAUUUAUAUCUAUUUUAAUAAAUAAGAAUAAGUGGAGAACUUGAAAGUAUGUGGCCAAGCUCAAUGUGAAAUAAAGCAAGAAAGAGCAUAUAAUAGUGUGAUGGACCAAUAAAAAAAGAUGCUAGCAAGGUCUUGAAUUUAUAGUAGUGGAAACAAAACGGAGUACGUGUGAAAAAGAAGAAAUCAGAUUUGGUGUAUUUUCGUCUUGUACCACCGAGCAUUUCCAUAAAUAAUAUCUAUGUACUAAAUAUGUGAAUUAGUUGAUAAA